UACGAAGGGGGCUAGCGUUGUUCGGAAUUACUGGGCGUAAAGCGCGCGCAGGCGGCUUCUCAAGUCAGGGGUGAAAGCCCAGAGCUCAACUCUGGAACUGCCUUUGAGACUGAGAGGCUUGAGUACGGGAGAGGUGAGUGGAAUUCCCAGUGUAGAGGUGAAAUUCGUAGAUAUUCGCAAGAACACCAGUGGCGAAGGCGGCUCACUGGCCCGGUACUGACGCUGAGGUGCGAAAGCGUGGGGAGCAAACAGG
rnacentral:rRNA from 1 species